rnacentral:rRNA from 1 species
UUGGCCUUGACAUACUAAGAACUUUCCAGAGAUGGAUUGGUGCCUUCGGGAACUUAGAUACAGGUGCUGCAUGGCUGUCGUCAGCUCGUGUCGUGAGAUGUUGGGUUAAGUCCGCAACGAGCGCAACCCUUUUUCCUUAUUUGCCAGCGGGUAAUGCCGGGAACUUUAAGGAUACUGCCAGUGACAAACUGGAGGAAGGCGGGGACGACGUCAAGUCAUCAUGGCCCUUACGGCCAGGGCUACACACGUGCUACAAUGGUCGGUACAAAGGGUUGCUACCUCGCGAGAGGAUGCUAAUCUCAAAAAGCCGAUCGUAGUCCGGAUCGCAGUCUGCAACUCGACUGCGUGAAGUCGGAAUCGCUAGUAAUCGCGGAUCAGAAUGCCGCGGUGAAUACGUUCCCGGGCCUUGUACACACCGCCCGUCACACCAUGGGAGUUUGUUGCACCAGAAGUAGGUAGUCUAACCGCAAGGAGGACGCUUACCACGGUGUGGCCGAUGACUGGGGUGAAGUCGUAACAAGGUAGGCGUAGAUGA